AUUGAACGCUAGCGGGAUGCUUUACACAUGCAAGUCGAACGGCAGCGCGGACUUCGGUCUGGCUGCGAGUGGCGAACGGGUGAGUAAGGUAUCGGAACGUGCGCAGUAGCGGGGUAUAACUACGCGAAAGCGUAGCUAAUACCGCAUACGCCCUACGGGGGUAAGCAUGGGAUCGUAAGACCUUGCACUAUUGGAGCGGUCGAUAUCGGAUUAGCUAGUUGGUGAGGUAACGGCUCACCAAGGCGACGAUCCGUAGCUGGUUUGAGAGGACGACCAGCCACACUGGAACUGAGACACGGCCCAGACUCCUACGGGAGGCAGCAGUGGGGAAUUUUGGACAAUGGGGGCAACCCUGAUCCAGCCAUACCGCGUGUGCGAUGAAGGCCUUCGGGUUGUAAAGCACUUUUGGCAGGAAAGAAAAGUAGCGGGCUAAUACCCCGUGGAACUGACGGUACCUGCAGAAUAAGCACCGGCUAACUACGUG
rnacentral:rRNA from 1 species